AUUGAACGCUGGCGGCAUGCUUUACACAUGCAAGUCGAACGGUAACAGGCCGCGAGGUGCUGACGAGUGGCGAACGGGGGAGUAAUGCAUCGGAACGUGCCCAGUCGUGGGGGAUAACUACUCGAAAGAGUAGCUAAUACCUCAUACGAUCUAUGGAUGAAAGCGGGGGACCGUAAGGCCUCGCGCGAUUGGAGCGGCCGAUGUCAGAUUAGGUAGUUGGUGGGGUAAAGGCUCACCAAGCCAACGAUCUGUAGCUGGUCUGAGAGGACAACCCGCCACACUGGGACUGAGACACGGCCCAGACUCCUACGGGAGGCAGCAGUGGGGAAUUUUGGACAAUGGGCGCAAGCCUGAUCCAGCAAUGCCGCGUGCAGGAAGAAGGCCUUCGGGUUGUAAACUGCUUUUGUACGGAACGAAACGGCUCUGGUUAAUACCCGGGGCUAAUGACGGUACCGUAAGAAUAAGCACCGGCUAACUACGUG
rnacentral:rRNA from 1 species